rnacentral:rRNA from 1 species
CAGCCGCCGCGGGAAAACGUAGGGUGCAAGCGUUAAUCGGAAUUACUGGGCGUAAAGCGUGCGCAGGCGGUUUGCUAAGACAGAUGUGAAAUCCCCGGGCUCAACCUGGGAACUGCAUUUGUGACUGGCAAGCUAGAGUGUGGCAGAGGGGGGUGGAAUCCCGCGUGUAGCAGUGAAAUGCGUAGGUAUGCGGAGGAACACCGAUGGCGAAGGCAGCCCCCUGGGCCAACACUGACGCUCAUGCACGAAAGCGUGGGGAGCAAACAGGAUUAGAUACCCCCGUAGUCCCUGUCUCUUAUAC